GGGCCCGAUAUCCGGUGAUCCCGGCUGCCGAGAAAAGCUUCGGCGUCAGGCUCAAAGCCGCCCGUACCCCAAACCGACACUGGUGGUCAGGUAGAGAAUACCAAAGCGAUCGAGCGAAUCCUGGUCAAGGAACUCGGCAAAUCACUCCCGUUCCUUCGGUUUAAGGGAGACCCCCGAUGGUGAACACACUUGCUGUGGGAGCUUUUGGGGGUGGCACAGACCAGGGGGUAGCGACUGUUUACCAAAAACACAGGUGCAUGCGAAGGCGCAAGCCGCUGUAUAUGCACUGACGCCUGCCCGGUGCCGGAAGGUUAAGAGGAUCCGUCAGCCUUCGGGUGAAGCGGUGGAUUCAAGCCCCGGUAAACGGCGGUGGUAACGAUAACCAUCCUAAGGUAGCGAAAUUCCUUGUCGGGUAAGUUCCGACCUGCACGAAUGGCGUAACGACUUCCCCACUGUCUCGACCAGGAGCUCGGCGAAAUUGCAGUACGAGUAAAGAUGCUCGUUAAGCGCAGAAGGACGAAAAGACCCCGGGACCUUUACUAUACCUUGGUAUUGGCAUUCGGUGUGGAUUGUGUAGCAUAGGCGGGAGGCCGAGAGGCGCGGUCGCCAGAUCGCGCGGAGCCGUAAGGUGAAAUACCGCUCUGUUCGCAUUGGAUGUCUAACCUCGAACAGUCAUCCUGUUCAGGGACAGUGCCUGGCGGGUAGUUUAACUGGGGCGGUUGCCUCCCAAAGAGUAACGGAGGCGCCCAAAGGUCCGCUCAGCCCGGUUGGCAAUCGGGUGGCGAGUGCAAGUGCACAAGCGGGCUUGACUGCGAGGACGACGGUCCGAGCAGGGACGAAAGUCGGGACUAGUGAUCCGGUGCCGGUGUACGGACGCGGCAUCGCUCAACGGAUAAAAGGUACCCCGGGGAUAACAGGCUGAUCAUUCCCAAGAGUCCAUAUCGACGGGAUGGUUUGGCACCUCGAUGUCGGCUCGUCGCAUCCUGGGGCUGGAGCAGGUCCCAAGGGUUCGGCUGUUCGCCGAUUAAAGCGGCACGCGAGCUGGGUUCAGAACGUCGUGAGACAGUUUGGUCUCUAUCCUCUGCGCUCGUUGGAAUGCUGAGGAGGCCUGCCCAUAGUACGAGAGGACCUGGGUGGACGAACCUCUGGUAUGCCGGUUGUCACGCCAGUGGCACGGCCGGUUGGCUACGUUCGGAAGGGAUAACCGCUGAAAGCAUCUAAGCGGGAAGCCUGCUCCAAGAUAAGCAUUCCGUGGAACCUUCGAGUUCCUGUAGUCCCCAUGCAGAACACGUGGUCGAUAGGCCGGACGUGGAAGCCCCGCGAGGGGUGGAGCCGACCGGUACUAACGGACGAAAGCC
rnacentral:rRNA from 1 species